AUACGGAGGGUGCAAGCGUUAUCCGGAUUUAUAGGGUUUAAAGGGUCCGUAGGCGGGAAUCUAAGUCAGUGGUGAAAUCUUGCAGCUCAACUGUAAAAUUGCCAUUGAUACUGGAUUUCUUGAAUUAGUGUGAAGUGGUUAGAAUGUGUAGUGUAGCGGUGAAAUGCAUAGAUAUUACACAGAAUACCAAUUGCGAAGGCAGAUCACUAACACUAUAUUGACGCUAAGGGACGAAAGCGUGGGGAGCGAACAGGAUUAGAAACCCCAGUAGUCC
rnacentral:rRNA from 1 species